UACAGAGGUACCGAGCGUUGUUCGGAAUCACUGGGCGUAAAGCGCACGUAGGCGGAUGUGUCAGUCAGGGGUGAAAUCCCGGAGCUCAACUUCGGAACUGCCUUUGAUACAGCACGUCUUGAGUCCGAUAGAGGUGGGUGGAAUUCCUAGUGUAGAGGUGAAAUUCGUAGAUAUUAGGAAGAACACCGGUGGCGAAGGCGGCCCACUGGAUCGGUACUGACGCUGAGGUGCGAAAGCGUGGGGAGCGAACAGG
rnacentral:rRNA from 1 species